rnacentral:rRNA from 1 species
UGGUGGGUAGUUUGACUGGGGCGGUCUCCUCCUAAAGAGUAACGGAGGAGCACGAAGGUUAGCUAAUCCUGGUCGGACAUCAGGAGGUUAGUGCAAAGGCAUAAGCUAGCUUGACUGCGAGAGUGACGGCUCGAGCAGGUGCGAAAGCAGGUCUUAGUGAUCCGGUGGUUCUGAAUGGAAGGGCCAUCGCUCAACGGAUAAAAGGUACUCCGGGGAUAACAGGCUGAUACCGCCCAAGAGUUCAUAUCGACGGCGGUGUUUGGCACCUCGAUGUCGGCUCAUCACAUCCUGGGGCUGAAGUAGGUCCCAAGGGUAUGGCUGUUCGCCAUUUAAAGUGGUACGCGAGCUGGGUUUAGAACGUCGUGAGACAGUUCGGUCCCUAUCUGCCGUGGGCGCUGGAGAAUUGAGGGGGGCUGCUCCUAGUACGAGAGGACCGGAGUGGACGCAUCACUGGUGUUCGGGUUGUCAUGCCAAUGGCAUUGCCCGGUAGCUAAAUGCGGAAGAGAUAAGUGCUGAAAGCAUCUAAGCACGAAACUUGCCCCGAGAUGAGUUCUCCCUGACUCCUUGAGAGUCCUGAAGGAACGUUGAAGACGACGACGUUGAUAGGUCGGGUGUGUAAGUGUAGCGAUACAUUGAGCUAACCGAUACUAAUGAACCGUGAGGCUUAACCUU